rnacentral:rRNA from 1 species
CAGUCGCCGCGGUAAUACGAAGGGUGCAAGCGUUAAUCGGAAUUACUGGGCGUAAAGCGUGCGUAGGCGGUUUGUUAAGUCUGCUGUGAAAUCCCCGGGCUCAACCUGGGAAUGGCAGUGGAUACUGGCAAGCUAGAGUGUGUCAGAGGAUGGUGGAAUUCCCGGUGUAGCGGUGAAAUGCGUAGAGGUCGGGAGGAACAUCAGUGGCGAAGGCGGCCAUCUGGGACAACACUGACGCUGAGGCACGAAAGCGUGGGGAGCAAACAGGAUUAGAUACCCCCGUAGUCCCUGUCUCUUAUAC